rnacentral:rRNA from 1 species
UAGAGUUUGAUCCUGGCUCAGGAUGAACGCUGGCGGCGUGCCUAACACAUGCAAGUCGAACGGAACUAUUUUGGAAACUCCUUCGGGAGCGGAAUCUUUAGUUUAGUGGCGGACGGGUGAGUAACGCGUGAGCAAUCUGCCUUUAAGAGGGGGAUAACAGUCGGAAACGGCUGCUAAUACCGCAUAAAGCAUCAAAUUCGCAUGUUUUUGAUGCCAAAGGAGCAAUCCGCUUUUAGAUGAGCUCGCGUCUGAUUAGCUGGUUGGCGGGGUAACGGCCCACCAAGGCGACGAUCAGUAGCCGGACUGAGAGGUUGAACGGCCACAUUGGGACUGAGACACGGCCCAGACUCCUACGGGAGGCAGCAGUGGGGAAUAUUGCGCAAUGGGGGAAACCCUGACGCAGCAACGCCGCGUGAUUGAAGAAGGCCUUCGGGUUGUAAAGAUCUUUAAUCAGGGACGAAAAAAAUG